rnacentral:lncRNA from 1 species
AAGCUUUCCUCUUUCCUCCCUCAGAACGCUGCCUGAGUAAGUAAAUAAGGAUGCUUUCCUCUCUGGUAAUGUGGUUGCAGCUACAUUUUUUGUUUAUACUGUUAUUAUUGUUAUUAUUAUUAUCAUAUCCAUUUUACUGGCCAGGGUAUUUCUUGCUUUCUUGUUUAUUUCAUUAGGAGACCUAGAUCACUCUUUGGUCAACUGUUCAACUAAUACCUGAAGAUUCAUUAUUGCCAAAUUAAUUUUGAAAUUACCAGCCACUUCUAUUGCACUUGAAAGUCUACUCAGGACUUGUUAAACUUUGGUAGAUCAUUCUGCACAGCUCACUGAAUGCAUCAUAAUACUGUCUCCCAAGCAUUCUCUGCUCCUCUCUGCUAUUCUACCCAAGGGACUGAAGAGGAAACACAGGCACAAAGCGUCCCACCUCUACUCCCCUCCCCACCCCCCACUUUUAUGGGGAAUGGAAACCCACGUCUUGAUAUUUGACUUCUAGUCCAUCUGAAGAUUUGUUCAGCUGAUACACUCUUAGGCUUAUUUUAUUUGUUUUGCAGAGUAAGUUCUUUUAUAGAGAGGGGUGUGACUGGUUCUUAUCAUGGCUCUGUUCACGAUAGGCAAGCUAUGGGACCAACCCACAUGUCUAUCAACCAGUGGACAAAGCAAAUGUGUUACAUGUACACAAUGGACUAUUAUUCUGCCACAAGGAAGAAGGAAGUGAUCAGCUGCUGAAAAAUUGAUGGAACUGGAGAUCAUGUCUAGUGUGAUAUCCCAAGCUCAGAAAG